rnacentral:lncRNA from 1 species
AUUUUAUGGACUCAAAAACAUCUUAUUACCUUACUUUCUAAGAAACAAAUGGAUUUGAAACAAUUGUUCAUAGACAACCAAAAUAACCUUACUUUCUAUGUUGCAAAAUACAGAAUUAACAACAAAUUGUCUCUAUCUUCAAAUGCAAGGGCUCAUGUUCUGCUUCUUCUUUUGCUCUUCCUAUGAAAGUUGUGCUUGAUGAGACUUGAAAAUCAUCCUUCAACAAGAUUUGGAGCUGGUUUUUAAGCUUCUUUUACAUCAACUGUGCCAACAACAGGAACUGGCAUACCUUGCUACACAGAAAGCCAUCUCAACUAAAUAAAGUUCCUGAAAAAACUUAAAAGCUCAAGUCAUAAACCCCAACACUAAAUUUGACAUCACUCAGACACUCAUAUACAAUAUAAAGCCAAAUAGGUCAUGUUAUUCACCCUCUAGUUACCUUAUAUAUGCAGAAGUAGAAGCAUAGCCUGUGCAGAAACAUAUGCACAGCCUAAAACAAGUGAACAACAACAACAAAACUACACAGCAACUAAAACAAGUUCCCAAAGUCAUCCACAUAACUACAUAACAAAUAAAACAAGCCUACAAAGUCAUCCACAAAACUACACAGCAAUAAAACAAGUCUACACAUCAAUCUAUGCUAUUAUACUGUAAUCAUUCAUAAUCAAUCUAUCAAUACAUACAACCCAUAAAAUGGAAGAAGAAGAACACCCAACCAUGAAGAAGAACAGCCAGCAAAAAAAAAAAACGAUGCAGAGAAGAAGAACACCCAGCCAUUCAUAAUCAGUUUACAACAGAUCAAGCUAUCCAAACACCGACUCAAUAUGAUCAUCUAUCAAAUACAUAUCACCAAUAAACAGUUUCACCAAUGAAAUCGAUCUUCUUAAAAAUUGAACAAGAACACCCAGCCAUGAAAUUGAUCGAUUCAACGCAUUACACACCGAAUCUUUAAUCAAUCUAUCAAAUACAUACAACCCAUAACCAAUUUUCUAUGAAAUCAAUCUUUACUCAUUCCAAAUCGAUCUUUUCCAGAGAGGGUUUCAAGAUGCGUGUGUGAGAGAGAGAGAGAGAGAGAGAGAGAGAGAGAGAGAGAGGN